CACUGUUAACCCUUGAGAUCCUGCAUGUUGCUAAAUUCAGAACUCUGUUUGUUCUGCGCUUGGGCCCAUGUGAGAGAUAUCACACAUGUAGCCAAGGUCAUUCGGCCACUGAUUACAACAUAUGGCUUGCAGGAAGCGCUUACAGAAUUAUUCUCUCAAACUUCAUUCCUAAAACUUAAGCCAAAACAGGAGAGUUGGAACCAAGAACGUCUCUAUUUACUACUAUGAUCUACA